CUUCCUGUCCCCAUCUCUUUGCCAUCUCUCUCUUUCUUCACCGCACCCGCCAUUCUCAUCGUGCAAUCGACGACCGCUGGACUUUUGACAUGGACGAUCAUUAGUGGCAUUCGUGUCCGCUGGCUGGCGUGCACACGCCUAGUACUGCACACGAUGGCCUCCUCUCGAUCUGCUCCACACGUGGUGGGCCCAGGCGGCAGAGACGGCCAAUUCUAUUCAGACCAUUGCACGCGUGGCUUGUGGGACCCAGCAGAGAGUCGUGGAGCAGAGAGCCGUUGCGGGUGUGCUAUAUAAGCGGGCGAAAGCGGCGGUGACCACGGUGACAGAGAGCACGGCAGUGACCACAGCGAGAGAGAGAGAGCACGGCGGCGGGAAGCUAGAUGUGGAGGGCGCGGUGGCGUUGAGAUCCCCUUCGGCUCCGAGCUCCAUGUCUUCCUCAAGCUCUCGCGCCACCUCGCGGAUGCAGAGCCGGGUGCGUGUGGACAUGCCUGUCUUCGUCUGUCUGUGGUGCCGAGCGGGCGUUGUUCGGAGGGUUUCUCACACACUGAGGAACUAGAAUCAUUCGUUCUACGUGUGCAGCGAGAAUGGGGUGACAUGCUUCUUUCUUUGGGUCGAUGUUCUGGCCAAGACUCUG